AGCCCUGCAGUAUAAAGAUACGUGGAAUUGCAAACUCCAAGAAGGAGAGUGGCUUCUCCCGGGGCUU
rnacentral:tRNA from 1 species